rnacentral:rRNA from 1 species
GAGUUUGAUCCUGGCUCAGAGUGAACGCUGGCGGUAGGCCUAACACAUGCAAGUCGAACGGCAGCACAGUAAGAGCUUGCUCUUAUGGGUGGCGAGUGGCGGACGGGUGAGGAAUACAUCGGAAUCUACUUUUUCGUGGGGAUAACGUAGGGAAACUUACGCUAAUACCGCAUACGACCUACGGGUGAAAGCAGGGGAUCUUCGGACCUUGCGCGAUUGAAUGAGCCGAUGUCGGAUUAGCUAGUUGGCGGGGUAAAGGCCCACCAAGGCGACGAUCCGUAGCUGGUCUGAGAGGAUGAUCAGCCACACUGGAACUGAGACACGGUCCAGACUCCUACGGGAGGCAGCAGUGGGAAUAUUGGACAAUGGGCGCAAGCCUGAUCCAGCCAUACCGCGUGGGUG